ACCUAAUAAAGCUUAUCUAUAAAUUUCAUCUUUUCUGGCCCAGUGGUUCUUGAGAAGAAGAUUUUUUAAUGGCCCUACCCUAUUUUUACCUUUUCUUGAUUAUCUCCCCUUGGAAGGUGGCAUGGCCCUUUAUUUUAACAAUUUAGAAUUCCCUUUACCUAAGGAUGCUUUGUGCCAACUUUGGUUGAAAUUGGCCCAGUGGUUGUUGAGAAGAAGUUGAAAAUGUGAAAAGUUUACAGACGGACGGACAGACAGACGGAUGGACAGACGGACGGACGGACGCCGGAAUACGGGUGAUCAGAAAAGCUCACUUGAGCUUUCAGCUCAGGUGAGCUAAAAAUCCGUUCAAUAAAUAUAUUAAACUUUACUGCUUUGGGGAAAGUAUAUUGAUAUAUUGGUAAGAAAGUAAUUUUCUAAAGAAUCAGCAGCUCACAUUUUGAUUACUUUGAUAUGAUAGGAAUUACUCAAUAUAUAUUUUGGGUAUGGAUCCAAAAUACACAUCUUUAUGAAGUUGAAUGAACAUGUUUGCUCAAUUUUUACACAAGUAGUGCAUCACAUAACAUAUUAAAGCUUUCUAAUCCGACUCUUUUAUUUUUAGGAACUGGAACACGUUCUAAAUAUACUCAGGGACAGAAUGAUGUGCAGCAAGGCUCGUCAUGGAUUUUACCAAAUACAGAACACUGCAAGGCUUGCAAAAUGAAGACCUCAGUAAAAAAAUUUCUAAAUUAUCCACUAAUGGCAGCUCACUACCUGCCCCUUGUGAUGUUAAAAGAGGCCGUUGUUCUCAUUUGUUCCAAAACAGGAAUGGCAUAUGAGGAGGCCAACAGAAGAUGCACCUCCACUGACCUCCACUGAGUGUGCACUCACAAAACGAAUAAAUUAUUAUUAUUUCUUUUGUUUGUAAUUGUAUAUUGUCAACAAGGUCAAAGGCACUUGAUCCGAUGCCAAACUUUUGCAUUUCUUUUGCUUUGUGGUAAAUUUUCUUCAGCAACAUUAACAUUGUUUAAAUUGUUUUCUUUGGAGAGUUUACAUGUACACAUGGAUCAUUUGUAUAUUAGAAUUAUAGCAUUGUUUAAUUCAACUCAUUCUUAUCAUAGAGAGGUUAUUAUAUACUGCAGGCAACGACUUGUAAAGGGUAUACUGUUUUAACUCACAUGCAAGGCAGUAUUAUGAAACUCUGUAGUUGAUAAGGACAUAUAUCACAUAUCGAUAUGCAUAUUUACAGGAAACUCUGAUGUAUUUUAAAUCUGAACGUUAAUUUAAAAGUGGGGAGAAAUAGCAUUGGAUGAAAAAAGACACAUAUGAAGAAAAUUAUUCCAUACGUAAAUACUUUUUAGCUCACCUGAGCUGAAAGCUCAAGUGAGCUUUUCUGAUCGCCUGUUGUUCAUUGUCUGUCCGUGCAUGAUUAAACAUUUUAUAUUUUCUCCAGAAGCACUGGGCCAAUAAUAACCAAACUUAACCAAAAGUAUCCUUGGGUAAAGGGCUUUCGAGUUUGUUCAAAUGAAGGGCCAUGCCCUCUUCAAAGGGGAGAUGACCACAAAAAUAGGGUGGGUCAUUUAAUUUUUUUUUUAUCAAGAACCAUUGGGCCAGAAGAGCUGAAAUGUACAUGAAAGCUUCCUGACAUAGUACAGAUUCAAGUUUAUUGAAAUCAUGGCCUCCUGGGGUUGUAUGGGGCCACAAUAGAGAAUCAAAGUUUUACAUACAAUUAUUCAGGAAAACUCUUUCAAUAUGAGCCAAGGUGGCUCAGGUGAGCGAUGUGGCCCAUGGGCCUCUUGUUCAACAUAUAGAAUAAAUAGUUAUGUUGUAUUUCCCAUGGAACAUUGAAACGUUUAAUGUGUUUACCAAUUAAUCACUGAAAGAAAGAUAAAAUUGUUGUUUCAUAUGUUUUAUGAAAACUUAAAGAUGUUUCAUUUCUUUUCAUGAAAGACCCCUUAAUUACCCAGUAAUAUAUAAUCAAUUCUUAACAGAUUAUGUAAAUUUGAUUUAUAUUAAGGAUGUUUGAUCUGAUUACCCAUCAUUAUCAAUCUGUCUAAUAUGGCCAUCAUGUGUUACUAUUGCUACGCAAUCUUGGAGCAUGAGGUAGAAUGCGAGCCAGCUCUUUCAUAAGUACAUGUAUCUGGAAAAUAUUUCAAUGUCAAAGGUUACAACAAUGUGAUAAUUUAAUCAUUGUAUGUCUAAGGUGUUGAUAAUAAAACUGUUAUCUGUUCAA